rfam:Anopheles funestus strain FTMOZ unplaced genomic scaffold supercont1.352, whole genome shotgun sequence.
UGAACAUGAUGAAACAUUCAGUUCUGCUUAUGAGGUUCUCCUGAUUAUAUCCCCAUAAAUACCAAAACAAACAUCUGAAAC